AGGGCCAUGGUGUUAAUGGUAGCACAGCGGUCUCCAAAACCGUUAGUGAGGGUUCGAAUCCUUCUGGCCCUGCCA
rnacentral:tRNA from 3 species